AGAGUUUGAUCCUGGCUCAGGAUAAACGCUGGCGGCGUGCCUAACACAUGCAAGUCGAACGCCCUUUGUCUCGCAAGAGAGGGAGGGAGUGGCGGACGGGUGAGUAACACAUGGGUGACCUACCCCACAGUGAGGGAUACCGGCGAGAAAUUGCCGACAAGCCCGCAUAGGUUCUUGCUGGUAGAGCAGUGAGAGCAAAGGUGCUUUUUCGCAAGAGGAAGCGCUGCUGUGGGAUGGGCCUGUGGCCGAUUAGCUAGUUGGUGAGGUAAGAGCUUACCAAGGCGUCGAUCGGUAGCUGGUCUGAGAGGACGAUCAGCCACACUGGGAUUGAGAACGGCCCAGACUCCUACGGGGGGCAGCAGUGAGGAAUUUUCCGCAAUGGGGGCAACCCUGACGGAGCAACGCCGCGUGCAGGAGGACGCUUUUCGGAGUGUAAACUGCUUUUCUGUGGGAAGAGCUACGGACGGUACCACAGGAAGAAGCCCCGGCUAACUACGUGCCAGCAGCCGCGGUAAUACGUAGGGGGCGAGCGUUGUCCGGAGUUACUGGGCGUAAAGGGCAUGCAGGCGGUCGUACGCGUUUCGGGUGACAGCGGGUGGCUUAACUACCCGAGUGUUCGAAAGACGGUACGACUUGAGGACUCGAGAGGGACACGGAAUUCCGGGUGGAGUGGUGAAAUGCGUAGAGAUCCGGAGGAACACCGAAGGCGAAGGCAGUGUCCUGGCGAGUGACUGACGCUGAGGUGCGAAAGCUAGGGGAGCGAACGGGAUUAGAUACCCCGGUAGUCCUAGCCGUAAACGAUGACCACCAGGUGUGGGAGGUAUCGACCCCUUCCGUGCCGGAGUUAACACACUAAGUGGUCCGCCUGGGGAGUACGGUCGCAAGAUUAAAACUCAAAGGAAUUGACGGGGACCCGCACAAGCAGCGGAGCGUGUGGUUUAAUUCGAUGCGACGCGAAGAACCUUACCAGGGUUUGACAUGCACGUGCACCAACCAGAGAUGGUUGUCCCUUCGGGGCGCGUGCACAGGUGCUGCAUGGCUGUC
rnacentral:rRNA from 1 species